ACUCUACAAUGCAGGCAACUGCGAUAGGGGAACAUCGAGUGAUACUCAUAUUGGGUGUCUGUCCCACCGUCUAAAAAACGGURGUUAGCAAGGGCCGGGCAAGACCGGUGCCAGCCGCCGCGGUAAUACCGGCGGCUCGAGUGGUGGCCGAUAUUAUUGAGUCUAAAGGGUCCGUAGCCGGCUUGGCAAGUCUCUUGGGAAAUCCGGCGGCUUAACCGUCGGUCGUCCGGGAGAUACUACUUUGCUUGGGACUGGGAGAGGCGUGAGGUACUCAGGAGGUAGGA
rnacentral:rRNA from 1 species